rnacentral:rRNA from 1 species
UACGGGGGGGGCAAGCGUUGUUCGGAAUUACUGGGCGUAAAGGGCUCGUAGGCGGCCAACUAAGUCAGACGUGAAAUCCCCAGGCUCAACCUGGGAACUGCGUCUGAUACUGGAUGGCUUGAAUCCGGGAGAGGGAUGCAGAAUUCCAGGUGUAGCGGUGAAAUGCGUAGAUAUCUGGAGGAACACCGGUGGCGAAGGCGGCAUCCUGGACCAUAACUGACACUGAUAAGCGAAAGCCAGGGGAGCAAACGGG